ACAUUAACGAUGAACUUACCAACUAAAACUUUCAUUCCACAAGGAUUCUUUUAAUGGCAUGUGUAAUGAUCCAAGUAAUCCAACUAAUGUCUUCUGUGUGUGUUUUAUCUCCUCGCUGUGUGUGUGUGUGUGCGC